GAUGAACGCUGACAGAAUGCUUAACACAUGCAAGUCUACUUGAACUUCGGUUUGGGUGGCGGACGGGUGAGUAACGCGUAAAGAACUUGCCUCACAGUUAGGGACAACAUUUGGAAACGAAUGCUAAUACCUGAUAUUAUGAUUUUAGGGCAUCCUAAGAUUAUGAAAGCUAUAUGCACUGUGAGAGAGCUUUGCGUCCCAUUAGCUAGUUGGAGAGGUAACGGCUCACCAAGGCGAUGAUGGGUAGCCGGCCUGAGAGGGUGAACGGCCACAAGGGGACGGAGACACGGCCCUUACUCCUACGGGAGGCAGCAGUGGGGAAUAUUGGACAAGGGACCAAAAGUCUGAUCCAGCAAUUCUGUGUGCACGAUGACGUUUUUCGGAAUGUAAAGUGCUUUCAGUUGGGAAGAAAAAAAUGACGGUACCAACAGAAGAAGUGACGGCUAAAUACGUG
rnacentral:rRNA from 1 species